GACGAACGCUGGCGGCGUGCUUAACACAUGCAAGUCGAACGAUGAAGCCGGAGCUUGCUCUGGUGAAUUAGUGGCGAACGGGAGAGUAACACGUGAGUAACCUGCCCUUGACUCUGGGAUAACUGCGGGAAACUGUAGCUAAUACCGGAUACGACCCUCGGAGGCAUCUCCUGGGGGUGGAAAGAAUUUCGGUCAAGGAUGGACUCGCGGCCUAUCAGCUAGUUGGUGAGGUAAAGGCUCACCAAGGCGACGACGGGUAGCCGGCCUGAGAGGGUGACCGGCCACACUGGGACUGAGACACGGCCCAGACUCCUACGGGAGGCAGCAGUGGGGAAUAUUGCACAAUGGGCGCAAGCCUGAUGCAGCAACGCCGCGUGAGGGAUGACGGCCUUCGGGUUGUAAACCUCUUUUAGCAGGGAAGAAGCGAAAGUGACGGUACCUGCAGAAAAAGCACCGGCUAACUACGUGCCAGCAGCCGCGGUAAAAC
rnacentral:rRNA from 1 species